AGCUGGAGCUGGUUGUCUACUGCAAGGACAAGGAAGAGUCAGUGCCUGGAGAAGCUGCCUACGAGAAACAUCAAGGAAGAACAAAACUCUGGCAAUGUGGAACCCUUGCCAUGUACCGACAAUAGAACUCUUGCACCAUAAUGACAACAGUUGAGAGUACUGGACGCUGUCACUGAGUUUCUUAUACUCAAAUGUGUAAGGUGGGAAAGAAGCAACACAAAGGGAUUGCAAGCCUGAAUAGCCAAAUGUUUUCCAGGUGAGUUUGUGAAGGGAGGCAGAUGUUCAUCUCCUGUGGGAAGGUCUGGAUGGUGAUGCUCUGCUGGUCUUGCACAGCCUCCAUCCCCUGGAAAAAGCUGCUUUUCCCAUUGCAUCUUGCCUGUUUGUUUUAUGCUCUUGUGAGAAAGGACUGAUGCAGAUGUAUGAGAUUCUGCUGCCAUUCACUGCAAUGACAUCAGCUUGUGCUAUUAAAACACCCACUCUGUGAUGUCAUAAGAGGUAUUUUUUUCUUGCUUUACACUCUGUAGUCAACAGGAUUCAGCCUCCUGUUUGCAAAAGAAAGUCCAGUUUAAUUCAAAGUACACUUAGCAGAGCUGAUAUGAAAGACAUGAUUUCUCUUUUAGGAGAACCCAGUUGGGAUCUUGCCUAACUUUAGGUGUCUGCUCCAAAGCUGCCUUUGUAUUCUAAGUGCUUUAUGUAUUUGUUAGGGAUGGAAUUAAUACUGUCUGGGGAUAUAAAGAAUUGUUUGUUUAAUACCUUCCAUGUAUAUAAAGAAUGAUUUGUUUCAUCCUUGAGCU